rnacentral:tRNA from 1 species
CGCUGAGAAGCUAACAAGGAGCAGCGUUAGCCUUUUAAGCUAAAGACUGGUGACUACCGACCACCCUCAGCGA